CCGGCUCAUGCGGGUUGAACCCGUGGUAAGCCGGGUUGGUCCACCAACCCACCUAUUUAAAUUUAUUUUUUUAAUUUAUUAUUUUAUUUAUGAAACCCUAAAAAAUAAAAUACUUUCUUGUCUCACUGUGUAUACCAAAAAAGUAACAUCUGCUCUCACAAAUCACUGUCAUGGUACUUGCUCUCAUUUGACGGUGCUCUCA
rnacentral:lncRNA from 1 species